UACGUAGGCAGCGAGCGUUGUUCGGAGUUACUGGGCGUAAAGCGCACGUAGGCGGAUACUUAAGUCAGGGGUGAAAUCCCGGGGCUCAACCCCGGAACUGCCUUUGAUACUGGGUAUCUCGAGUCCGGAAGAGGUGAGUGGAAUUCCGAGUGUAGAGGUGAAAUUCGUAGAUAUUCGGAGGAACACCAGUGGCGAAGGCGGCUCACUGGUCCGGUACUGACGCUGAGGUGCGAAAGCGUGGGGAGCAAAGCAGG
rnacentral:rRNA from 1 species